AGGGGCCUGCGGGCUAUCAGCUUGUUGGUGGGGUAAUGGCUUACCAAGGCGAAGACGGCUAGGGGGCGUGAGAGCGCGACCCCCCACAAUGGAACUGAGACACGGUCCAUACUCCUACGGGAGGCAGCAGUGAGGAAUAUUGCGCAAUGGGGGCAACCCUGACGCAGCAACGCCGCGUGGACGAUGAAGGCCUUCGGGUUGUAAAGUCCUUUUCUGAAGGAAGAUAGUGACGGUACUUCAGGAAUAAGUCCCGGCUAACUACGUGCCAGCAGCCGCGGUAAAACGUAGGGGGCGAGCGUUAUCCGGAUUUACUGGGCGUAAAGCGCACGUAGGCGGCAUCGUAAGUUGGACGUGAAAGCUCCCGGCUCAACUGGGAGAGGUCGUUCAAAACUGUGGUGCUUGAGGUUGAUAGAGGAGAGUGGAAUUCCCGGUGUAGUGGUGGAAUGCGUAGAUAUCGGGAGGAACACCAGUGGCGAAGGCGGCUCUCUAGGUCACACCUGACGCUGAGGUGCGAAAGCGUGGGGAGCGAACGGGAUUAGAUACCCCGGUAGUCCACGCUGUAAACGAUGGAUACUAGGUGUGGGAGGUUAUUUACCCCUUCUGUGCCGUAGCUAACGCGUUAAGUAUCCCGCCUGGGGACUACGGCCGCAAGGUUAAAACUCAAAGGAAUUGACGGGGGCCCGCACAAGCAGCGGAGCGUGUGGUUUAAUUCGAUGAUACGCGAAGAACCUUACCUGGGCUUGACAUGGUGGUAGUAGUGAAGCGAAAGCGGAACGACCCUUCGGGGAGCCAUCACAGGUGCUGCAUGGCUGUCGUCAGCUCGUGUCGUGAGAUGUUGGGUUAAGUCCCGCAACGAGCGCAACCCUCGUCGCUAGUUAUAUGUGUCUAGUGAGACUGCCGGUAUCAAACCGGAGGAAGGUGGGGAUGACGUCAAGUCAGCAUGGUCUUUAUGUCCAGGGCUACACACACGCUACAAUGGCCGGUACAAUGGGUUGCCAUACCGCGAGGUGGAGCUAAUCCUCAAAGCCGGUCUCAGU
rnacentral:rRNA from 1 species